GCCUAGCUGUGACCUGGUCCUGCCAGGCCGUCCUUAGGAUUAUUGGGGCCCUACGCAGUAUUAUUAAACUGGUACCCCUAUGCCGGAUGGCAGCCCAAGCUCACCGCCUUGUGGGGGAG